rnacentral:rRNA from 1 species
UACGUAGGGCGCAAGCGUUAUCCGGAAUUAUUGGGCGUAAAGAGCUCGUAGGCGGUUUGUCGCGUCUGCCGUGAAAGUCCGGGCUCAACUCCGGAUCUGCGGUGGGUACGGGCAGGCUAGAGUGAUGUAGGGGAGACUGGAAUUCCUGGUGUAGCGGUGAAAUGCGCAGAUAUCAGGAGGAACACCGAUGGCGAAGGCAGGUCUCUGGGCAUUAACUGACGCUGAGGAGCGAAAGCAUGGGGAGCGAACAGG